GAUGAACGCUGGCGGCGUGCCUAAUACAUGCAAGUCGAGCGAACAGAUGAGGAGCUUGCUCCUCUGACGUUAGCGGCGGACGGGUGAGUAACACGUGGAUAACCUACCUAUAAGACUGGGAUAACUUCGGGAAACCGGAGCUAAUACCGGAUAAUAUAUUGAACCGCAUGGUUCAAUAGUGAAAGACGGUUUUGCUGUCACUUAUAGAUGGAUCCGCGCCGCAUUAGCUAGUUGGUAAGGUAACGGCUUACCAAGGCAACGAUGCAUAGCCGACCUGAGAGGGUGAUCGGCCACACUGGAACUGAGACACGGUCCAGACUCCUACGGGAGGCAGCAGUAGGGAAUCUUCCGCAAUGGGCGAAAGCCUGACGGAGCAACGCCGCGUGAGUGAUGAAGGUCUUCGGAUCGUAAAACUCUGUUAUUAGGGAAGGACAAAUGUGUAAGUAACUAUGCACGUCUUGACGGUACCUAAUCAGAAAGCCACGGCUAACUACGUG
rnacentral:rRNA from 1 species